UACGGGGGGAGCAAGCGUUGUUCGGAUUUACUGGGCGUAAAGGGCGCGUAGGCGGCCACGCACGUCCGUUGUGAAAUCGCCCGGCUCAACUGGGCGGGGUCAGCGGAUACGGUGUGGCUCGAGCAAGCUAGGGGGCAAUGGAAUUCCCGGUGUAGUGGUGGAAUGCGUAGAUAUCGGGAGGAACACCAGUGGCGAAGGCGGUUGCCUGGAGCUUUGCUGACGCUGAGGCGCGAAAGCGUGGGGAUCAAACAGG
rnacentral:rRNA from 1 species